rnacentral:lncRNA from 10 species
AUGUUUGGUUCCCUGUAAAAACCAAAGACAACAUCUUAAAAUAUGUCCCUGAGUUGUUUUCCAGAUAAGAAAAGUAUUUCCCAAAGCAAUUUUCUGGCAAGAUCAGUAGUUUAUUGCAAUCAUCAAGGCAAAAAAAAAAAAAAAAAUGGUGAGGGCAUGAAUCAGAAUAAAAGGAAGGGAAAAGAAGAAAAACUUGAAACCCUUUAGAGGUGGAAAUGAGAGAAUGCAGUACUUUUCUGAUCGUUAAAUCUCCUAUAAAUAGCUCGCCAUUUUCACUGUCAGUAAAUAUACAACACUCCACAAGCUGAAACCUAUGUAACUUCGCUGGAGCCUUCACAGGUGUUUAUGAAUGGCGUAAUCUGCUGGCUCACUGAAUGCUGACGCUGUUGGAAUAGCUCUGAGCAGUGGGCACCUAAAACCAUUGCUUUUACAUUGGGCCUCCUGAUUCUUGCCCUUGGCACUUGGGUCAUUUCUAAAUAUGGUCACUUCU